AACUCAGUCCUUUACCUCACCCUAGAGAACAGAUCCAGAAAAGGGGCAGAUUCAAAGAAAAAGUGCACUUACGUCCAACUUCGAGACUAAGGAUCCUGGACAGAGAAUCGCGCAUAAAAUUGAUCCCUCUGGACUAUCAGAAGAGUCGUUUGCUCAGAUUCAGAGAUCCUGAAAGGGGAGAGAUUGUGUAGCCCAAGGUCCACACGGUUUACCGAGAAUAAAACACGAAUUUGUUGUGGGUUCUGAUGAAAACACUAAUGUCAACAAGUUUUUUUGACUGAGCAUAUGGAAGAAGCAUAUGCUCUGAGCAACCGCAAAGCAGCACGUUGUGUGUGUGUGCUGUGAAGGCUGGAGAUCAGUUCAGAGCCCCGAACCUUGCUUGAAAGAGUUUUCCAUCCCGACUGUCUCGGUUUCUGCAUCCCUCGGAAUCAUUUAUGAUGUUGGGGAUCCUGAGAUUUUGUCGUUGGGGAUCCUGCGGUCCUCUCUCCCCGGAGACCUCUCCUCCCGCUUCUUCCGGGAAACUCCUUCCAUCGCCCUGGUUCGGACAACAAUCUCUCCGCAUGCCACAGCCUCGGAAAGGCGCAUUUCCAGUUUCUGCAUUGAAGAAUCUUCCUAUUUAUCUCCAGAGGUAUGGGGUCUGCCAAAUGCAGAAAAACCGACUUUCAAGACUCCAGUGAGGGCCAGCCCCAGGCUGGGACAGAAACCUUGGAGGAAAUGGGUACAUGAAAAUCACAAAGAAUUCUGUUUCUGCCUGCUUUCCAUGUAGGAUAUUUUUAUCUGAGAAAAAACAAAAUGGGAUCAUAAUUGGAUUGAGCUGCCAUGAGGUGGACAGUUUCCCUCUGCUUUGCCUUUCCACCAUGAUUAUCUGGCUUUACCUCAGGCUUAGAGCAGCCAACUACAAAGGCAGCUGACCAUGGACUGAAACCUAUGAAACUGUGAGCUAAAAUAAAUCUUUUCUCCUCUAAGUUGUUCUUGUUGGGUAUUUUGGUUACAGGAAUAAAAAGCUGACUAACACAGAUUCUAAAAAAUUUUUUAUUAUGCAGUUCCAGAAUUGCAUCCAUGGCUUCAGGCAUGUUCUGUGAGUACUUUAUCUACCACCAAGCUACAUACCUGUAGCUUGUUUUUGCUUUUGCUUUUUCACUUCUAUAUUCUUUUUUUAAAAUAUACUUUUAAUCACAGAUAGACAUACUUUUAUUUUAUUUAUUUAUUUAUUUUUGUGUGGUGCCAAGGAUGAAACCCAGUGCCUCACAUGUGCUAGGCAAGUGCUCUACCACUGAACUACAACUCCAGCUCUCUAUAAAUAUUCUUAUAAUUGUCAAUUUUAGAUGUCAUCUGCACUUGAUCAUUUUACAAUUACCAUCCUUGAAUAUAAAUAAUGGACAUCCAUUUUAUGAUAACAUGUGUAUCUGAUAAUUUUCUUUAUUCUUUUU